rnacentral:rRNA from 1 species
ACUGCUAUUGGGAUUCGACUAAGCCAUGCGAGUUGAGAGGGUUCGGCCCUCGGCAGACGGCUCAGUAACACGUGGAUAAUCUGCCCUUAGGUGGAGGAUAACCUCGGGAAACUGAGAAUAAUACUCCAUAUGUCUAGGAUGCUGGAAUGCACCUAGAUUUAAAGCUCCGGCGCCUAAGGAUGAGUCUGCGGACUAUCAGGUAGUAGUCAGGGUAAAGACCUGACUAGCCUACGACGGAUAUGGGUUGUGAGAGCAAUAACCCAGAGAUGAUAUCUGAGACACGAUAUCAGGCCCUACGGGGCGCAGCAGGCGCGAAAACUUCACACUGUGCGAAAGCACGAUGAGGGAAUCCCAAGUGCUUGUUCGCAAGAGUAAGCUGUUUCUACGUUUAAAAUGCAUUGAGAGUAAGGGCUGGGUAAGACGGGUGCCAGCCGCCGCGGUAAUACCUGCAGCUCGAGUGGUGACCGCUAUUAUUGGGCCUAAAACGUCCGUAGCCGGUUUUAUAAAUGCCUGGGUAAAUCGUGUAGCUUAACUAUACGAAUUCCGGGUAGACUGUUAAACUUGAGACCGGGAGAAGCUAGAGGUACUCCUGGGGUAGAGGUGAAAUUCUGUAAUCCUAGGGGGACCACCAGUGGCGAAGGCGUCUAGCUAGAACGGGUCUGACGGUGAGGGACGAAGCCCUGGGGCGC